rnacentral:rRNA from 1 species
CCUACGGGGGGCAGCAGUGGGGGAUAUUGCACAAUGGGCGGAACCCUGAUGCAGCGACGCCGCGUGGGUGAAGAAGCGCCUCGGCGCGUAAAGCCCCGUCAGCAGGGAAGAAAAUGACGGUACCUGAAGAAGAAGCCCCGGCUAACUACGUGCCAGCAGCCGCGGUAAUCCGUAGGGGGCAAGCGUUAUCCGGAUUGACUGGGGGGAAAGGGGGCGCAGGCGGGGAUGCAAGCUAGGAGUGAAAGCCGGGGGCCCAAACCCGGGACUGCCCUUGAAACUGGGUGGCUGGAGUGGAGGAGGGGCAGGCGGAAUUCGUGGUGGAGCGGUGAAAUGCGUAGAUAUCAGGAAGAACACCGAUGGCGAAGGCAGCCUGCUGGACUGCGACUGACGUUGAGGCACGAAAGCGUGGGGAGCGAACAGGAUUAGAUACCCGUGUAGUC